AACGAACGCUGGCGGCGUGCCUAAUACAUGCAAGUCGAGCGCAGGAAGCCGUCUGAACCCUUCGGGGGGACGACGGUGGAAUGAGCGGCGGACGGGUGAGUAACACGUAAAGAACCUGCCCAUAGGUCUGGGAUAACCACGAGAAAUCGGGGCCAAUACCGGAUGUGUCAUCGGACCGCAUGGUCCGCUGAUGAAAGGCGCUCCGGCGUCGCCCAUGGAUGGCUUUGCGGUGCAUUAGCUAGUUGGUGGGGUAACGGCCCACCAAGGCGACGAUGCAUAGCCGACCUGAGAGGGUGAUCGGCCACACUGGGACUGAGACACGGCCCAGACUCCUACGGGAGGCAGCAGUAGGGAAUCUUCCACAAUGGACAAAAGUCUGAUGGAGCAACGCCGCGUGAACGAUGAAGGCUUUCGGGUCGUAAAGUUCUGUUGUAAGGGAAGAACAAGUGCCGCAGGCAAUGGCGGCACCUUGACGGUACCUUGCGAGAAGGCCACGGCUAACUACGUGCCAGCAGCCGCCGUAA
rnacentral:rRNA from 1 species